CCUACGGGGGGCAGCAGUAGGGAAUUUUCCGCAAUGGGCGAAAGCCUGACGGAGCAAUACCGCGUGAGGGAUGACGGCCUAUGGGUUGUAAACCUCUUUUUUCAGGGAGGAAUAAAUGACGUGUACCUGAAGAAUAAGCAUCGGCUAACUCCGUGCCAGCAGCCGCGGUAAGACGGAGGAUGCAAGUGUUAUCCGGAAUCACUGGGCGUAAAGCGUCUGUAGGUGGUCCAAUAAGUCAACUGUUAAAUCUUGAGGCUCAACCUCAAAACCGCAGUCGAAACUAUUAGACUAGAGUAUAGUAGGGGUAAAGGGAAUUUCCAGUGGAGCGGUGAAAUGCGUAGAUAUUGGAAGGAACACCGAUGGCGAAGGCACUUUACUGGGCUAUUACUAACACUCAGAGACGAAAGCUAGGGUAGCAAAUGGGAUUAGAUACCCGGGUAGUC
rnacentral:rRNA from 1 species